GGGGCUGAUCGGAUUCGACUUCGCGCAUCAAAUCAAGGGAAGCGUGCCGGUGCAGGCAAGAGACCACCGUAAGCGUCGUUGCAACCAAUUAAGCGCCGAUUCCAAUCAGCGCGACUACGCCCUCGCUGCCUAAGUAGCGACUGCGUGUCUGUCAGACCGGGAGCGCCCUCGGCCCGGACCCUGGCAUCAGCUAGAGGGACAAACCCAUACGUCCGGUCACGGGAUGUACGGGGACAUCAAACAGUGACUGGGAUCGUCAUCCUGACUUGUUCGCGUGAGCAGGAGAUCCAAGUAGAGACAUAGCGAACUGCGCACGGAGAAGCCUCGAGGACAUGCCGUAGGACCCGGGUUCAAUUCCCGGCAGCUCCACGA
rnacentral:tmRNA from 1 species